UACGGAGGGCGCGAGCGUUAAUCGGAAUUACUGGGCGUAAAGCGCGCGUAGGCUGUUGUGUAAGUUGGGGGUGAAAUCCCACGGCUCAACCGCGGAACAGCCCUUGAUACUGCGCGACUUGAAUCCGGGAGAGGGUGGCGGAAUUCCAGGUGUAGGAGUGAAAUCCGUAGAUAUCUGGAGGAACAUCAGUGGCGAAGGCGGCCACCUGGACCGGUAUUGACGCUGAGGCGCGAAAGCGUGGGGAGCAAACAGG
rnacentral:rRNA from 1 species